CGUAGGUGGCAAGCGUUGUCCGGAUUUAUUGGGUUUAAAGGGUGCGUAGGCGGUCCUAUAAGUCAGUGCUGAAAUAUCCCGGCUUAACCGGGAGGGUGGCAUUGAUACUGCAGGACUUGAGUAAAGUUGAGGUUGGCGGAAUUGACGGUGUAGCGGUGAAAUGCUUAGAUAUCGUCAAGAACACCUAUUGCGAAGGCAGCUAACUAAGCUUUAACUGACGCUGAGGCACGAAAGUGUGGGGAUCAAACAGGAUUAGAUACCCUGGUAGUCCACACUGUAAACGUUGAUUACUCGAUGUUGGCGAUACACAGCCAGCGUCUUAGCGCAAGCGAUAAGUAAUCCGCCUGGGGAGUACGCCGGCAACGGUG
rnacentral:rRNA from 1 species